GUCUGUUUGGGUGUCUCAUUAAAGGAAACAAAAUUUACUUUCACUAUUAUUUCCUUUCUUUUCAUUUCCCCUUAAUUCUCUCAAAACAAACAGUGUAAGGAAUUUCACUUUGAUGUCAAAUUUUCUAUAUAAGAUAGCCUACCAUGUCAAAAUCAAAAACAUUGUCAAGGAGCCAAAUAUCACUUCCCUUUCAGACUAUACUAUUAUCCUGCAUGCUUAUCUCUCAAAGGGGCUUUUUCACCCAUGACAGAACCCAGAAAGCAAAAGGGAAUACAGGGAACAAGCACCUGAGAACUAUACAACCAUAAACAAGUAAUAUUUGCAUCUCUCUCCCAUCUCAAAGGAAUAUUUCCUACUUAUAUUUUUGUUAUACACAAAUUUAAGAAACACAAAGAAGAAUUGAAGUAUCACCAAGUCAAUCAGGUGACAGUAACCGACUCUGAGGCAGCAGAACAGGAGGAAGAGGUGCUGGCAUCACCCACAACAUUCUUUAGUUUCACGAAUGAACACUCAGCUGAAGACCCAAAUUCAGAGACAUCCCCAAUGUCCA
rnacentral:misc_RNA from 1 species